GGUAUGACUCUCCAAAGAGGAGGAGAUCGACAACUUUCACUCAUAGCAUAGAUCUGAUACCUCUGACAACAAAAAUGAGGUGCUAAGCAGAAAAUGCUGCGCAGGCAUGUCUAAUGGACAGAUGACACUGAUGUUACUCUCAAGAAAGGAUGAGAGAUCAGGGAAAAGACACUAUGAAAUCUUUAAUCAGGGACCUGAGUUAUUGUAAGAGAUCAUUGACAUCCAGGCAAAGAUUAUGUUCCUGACAAUACCAGGAUGGACAUUAAGGGCUGACUACCCUAGAUGUAGUUAAGUGUUAAAACCAUUUUUAACCAUUACUCCUGAUACCCUGUCUUUGUGGGUAAUAUCUUAAUAAGAACAAUUUCUUGCUCUCUCCCAACAGUCCCAGAAUUCAGAUGGCCGCUGGAUUCGGGGUCUAUUGGCUUCCCUUUCAUAUACUGGAAAACGUUCUGGAAUAUGGAAGUAAGACCUCAGGAGCAAACUGAGGACUCUAGGUUUGACAAUUUCUGUGGACGCGCAGUCAUUGUCUCUCCUAGGUGGAAAAAAUUAUUACACAAAUGCAUGGAGCAAGGAAAAAGUAUAAUCUAAGUUCUACCUUUUUGGAGUAUGGAUUGAAAACAUGACACAAUAGGCACAGAUAAGCUUAUAGAAAGAGCACAUUGAAUAUUAUACACUGACAACAAGGAAUGAAAAAGCUAUGUCAAAUUCUAUUGGUACAAGAAACUGUAGAAAUUGUUUCUACGUGAAAAACAACUUAAGCUUCUAUCUACCCAAACAUUGGUUUGGUGGAAUGAAUUUUGCUAAUCUUGGUAAUGUUAUAUGCUUGGUUAUCAUAUUGAUGGGUUUAUUUGUACAAGCAGAGGUUUAAAUAAGGAUGAUAUGAGAAAUAUGCAGUCAGAACUUGAAAUAUUACUUCAUUAUCACCAUCAUGGUUAUUUAAGCUACAAUUCAGAAUGUAAAGUGUAUGGGAAUAUUGGUAAUGUUAUAUGCUUGGUUAUCAUAUUGAUGGGUUUAUUUGUACAAACAGAGAUUUAAAUAAGGAUGAUAUGAGAAAUAUGCAGUCAGAACUUGAAAUAUUACUUCAUUAUCACCAUCAUGGUUAUUUAAGUUACAAAUCAGAAUGUAAAGUGUAUGGGAAUAUUGGUAUUUGUUAAAAAUUGCACUAUGAUGUAUUGAUGUUUUUGCAAGGCCUGUAAUGGUGCAAAAUUAUGUUCAUAUGCAAGG
rnacentral:lncRNA from 1 species